CAUGCAAGUCUACUUGAUCCUUCGGGUGAAGGUGGCGGACGGGUGAGUAACGCGUAAAGAACUUGCCUUACAGACUGGGACAACAUUUGGAAACGAAUGCUAAUACCGGAUAUUAUGACUGAGUCGCAUGAUUUGGUUAUGAAAGCUAUAUGCGCUGUGAGAGAGCUUUGCGUCCCAUUAGUUAGUUGGUGAGGUAACGGCUCACCAAGACGAUGAUGGGUAGCCGGCCUGAGAGGGUGAACGGCCACAAGGGGACUGAGACACGGCCCUUACUCCUACGGGAGGCAGCAGUGGGGAAUAUUGGACAAUGGACCAAAAGUCUGAUCCAGCAAUUCUGUGUGCACGAUGAAGUUUUUCGGAAUGUAAAGUGCUUUCAGUUGGGAAGAAGUCAGUGACGGUACCAACAGAAGAAGCGACGGCUAAAUACGUGCCAGCAGCCGCGGUAAUACGUAUGUCGCAAGCGUUAUCCCGGAUUUAUUGGGCGUAAAGCGCGUCUAGGCGGUUUAGUAAGUCUGAUGUGAAAAUGCGGGGCUCAACCCCGUAUUGCGUUGGAAACUGUUAAACUAGAGUACUGGAGAGGUAGGCGGAACUACAAGUGUAGAGGUGAAAUUCGUAGAUAUUUGUAGGAAUGCCGAUGGGGAAGCCAGCCUACUGGACAGAUACUGACGCUAAAGCGCGAAAGCGUGGGUAGCAAACAGGAUUAGAUACCCUGGUAGUCCACGCCGUAAACGAUGAUUACUAGGUGUUGGGGGUCGAACCUCAGCGCCCAAGCUAACGCGAUAAGUAAUCCGCCUGGGGAGUACGUACGCAAGUAUGAAACUCAAAGGAAUUGACGGGGACCCGCACAAGCGGUGGAGCAUGUGGUUUAAUUCCGACGCAACGCGAGGAACCUUACCAGCGUUUGACAUCCCAAGAAGUUAACAGAGAUGUUUUCGUGCCUCUCCGAAGGAACUUGGUGACAGGUGGUGCAUGGCUGUCGUCAGCUCGUGUCGUGAGAUGUUGGGUUAAGUCCCGCAACGAGCGCAACCCCUUUCGUAUGUUACCAUCAUUAAGUUGGGGACUCAUGCGAGACUGCCUGCGAUGAGCAGGAGGAAGGUGGGGAUGACGUCAAGUCAUCAUGCCCCUUAUACGCUGGGCUACACACGUGCUACAAUGGGUAGUACAGAGAGCUGCAAACCUGCGAGGGUAAGCUAAUCUCAUAAAACUAUUCUUAGUUCGGAUUGUACUCUGCAACUCGAGUACAUGAAGUUGGAAUCGCUAGUAAUCGCAAAUCAGCUAUGUUGCGGUGAAUACGUUCUCGGGUCUUGUACACACCGCCAANUCACACCACGAGAGUUGGUUGCACCUGAAGUAACAGGCCUAACCGUAAGGAGGGAUNUUCCGAGG
rnacentral:rRNA from 1 species